AGCAAAAUCCUGGAGCUGACCCCAGGAUUCAAGAACAUUUUAUUAGUUACUGAAUUCUAUUCUUGGACCUUUAGAAAAUGGAAGCUGAAUGACACAUCAUCAUUGGCGUGUGCUAACCUCAGAUAAAAUGAGGCCUUAUGAAAUGAAGAUGAAACAAUAUUAAAUCAAGUCACAGUCUUGUAGGAAAGAAAAGAAACUGUGCAAAGUUACCCAAAAGAUUAAAAAACCCAAGGUGCUUUGUGUGCAACAACACAAAGCAACAAGCCCCCCACACUUCUGCUGAAUUCAGAAGGUAGUUAGUGUCUUCUGAAUGCAGCGAUCAAGGUUUAGGAAUACGUAGGAGAUGCCUAGAACAAAGUGGAAAAUACUGGAGCAGAGAUUUAGCUCAGAAAAUCUGAGGGGAGAAGAUUCUGUCCUUCUGAAAUCUGCCUUCUCCAGUAGCCUUACAUACUUGGACCAAUAAAACCGGUGAAAGUCACAUGGCAAGAGGAUCCACGUUUCCAAGACAGCAGUUCUGAGAGUGAUGAUGAGCCUGAACCAUCAGAAAUUGGAAAGGACCAAGAAAUGCAAGUUCCAUUUGUAUUUGUUCUCUCCUUGGUUGUCGUAGUUGGAUGCUGUGGGCAUAUUAAGAGCAGCACUCAGGAAACGGGAAACGGACAUUGCACACCUCUGAGCAGUGAAAGUCAUCUUGGAAAACCGUCUGUGCUGCACCGAGUCAAAACUCCCAGCAGCCCAUUUGAUGUGAAGCUGAAUAUGAAGAGAGAGAAGUUGAGCACAAGAAAUUAACUGGGUCGUUUUGGUUUGACCAAACCCAAACUGAGUUUGGCCAAAAGCCAAAGACACAGUCAGUUUUCUUUUAAAAAGUGGGGUUUUUAUAGAAGGCUCUGUUUGGUUACUGUGGAGUAAAGCUCUUCAAUGUUUACCAUUUCUCUGAAGCGCUGCAGCUCUAACUCGUGUUCAUGGAAUUUGAUAGUGCCUUUUAGGAUGCUAAAAUCCCUUUGUACUUGUCUAGGUUUCUUUCUUUACCACACACGGAAAGUGCUAGAGUCUUCUUCUUCUCCAAAGAUGAUGAACGCCUAAGAGGUACAACAGAACUUAUUCACCCCUUUUGUAUUUUUUUCCUUUUAAACUCUUACUGGAAUUCAGUGAGGAAAAAAUGCUGCCCGCUUAUGAAUGGUUUGUAGUCAACAUUUGCCACCCUUACUUGGGGUCUAGGUUGUGCUAGAAGCCCGUGAGGAAGUCCUGGCAAAAUAAAGGCUGAGCAGCUGUCUGGCUUUCUUUUCUUUCAGAUAAUUGCCUAAUAGGUAUCUGGACUUUUGGAGCUUACCAAAAAAAUAGUCACUGGACAAGUUGCCUAGACAUUUCAGACCCUUUCAGGUAUGUAUAUCAUCUUUAACUUUUUCUUGUCUUUCUGCUGUUAUCAUUAAGAACGUUGAGUAUUCUUAUCAGCCACAUAUGCCCGUGGGGUUCUUUGUCCUCCUGAAUCUCGGUUUUUCUCUUCUGAAUCCAGUGAAUUUUGUACUAAAAACCAAGGAAAACAACAGUCAAAGAAAACAUACGCAGCCCUAAACAUUCCACAGGCCACCAAAACAAUGGCUUGUUACAUUUGAUAGAACACAGUUUUAGGACAGCCUUAAAGGAUGUUUGUUUCUUGAGACCUACUAGAUAACUGUGAUGCAACGAGCUGAUGUGUUCAUACAGUUACUGUCCUGCGUGCUUCCAGCCUGUCUGAUUUACAGCGCGUGUUAAAAUGGGGAUCUCAGUCGUCAGCAGCCAUCAGUUUUGGGGGGAGAUGUGGGAUCCUGGUGUUGAGCUUUUCCUGGAGCAGCUGCUAUUUCACUGCAAUCUAGAUUUCAGCAUGUUCAGGAAAACUGCUGCUGCCUUUCAUUUCUCGCAGUACACGCGGCUGUAACACCGAACAUUUCUGUCGGAGCUCACGUGUGGUGGUGGGGGGAAGCGAAUGGGAAGGAUGUGGAGAAUAGAGCUGCUGACUUUA